rnacentral:rRNA from 1 species
CUAAGUUUGAUGGCGACCGGCGCACGGGUGAGUAACACGUAUCCAACCUGCCGAUGACUCGGGGAUAGCCUUUCGAAAGAAAGAUUAAUACCCGAUGGCAUAGUUCUUCCGCAUGGUGGAACUAUUAAAGAAUUUCGGUCAUCGAUGGGGAUGCGUUCCAUUAGGUUGUUGGCGGGGUAACGGCCCACCAAGCCUUCGAUGGAUAGGGGUUCUGAGAGGAAGGUCCCCCACAUUGGAACUGAGACACGGUCCAAACUCCUACGGGAGGAGCAUG